rnacentral:tRNA from 1 species
CCGGAAUAGCUCAUUUGGUAGAGCA